AAACUUACCUGGCAGGAGAGACACCAUGAUCAUGAAAAUAGUUUUCCCAGGAUGCAGCUUAUCCAUUACACUCUAUAUGUGCUGACCCCUGCAGUUUCCCCAAAUGUGGGAAACUCAACUGCAGAAUUUGUGGUAAUGGAGACUGCAUUUGUGCUAUCCCCUA
rnacentral:snRNA from 1 species